rnacentral:siRNA from 1 species
AACUUUUGAAGAAUCUAGAAUCCC